rnacentral:rRNA from 1 species
UACGUAGGGUGCAAGCGUUAAUCGGAAUUACUGGGCGUAAAGCGUACGCAGGCGGCUUUGCAAGACAGGUGUGAAAUCCCCGGGCCUAACCUGGGAACUGCAUUUGUGACUGCAAGGCUUGAGUGUGUCAGAGGGAGGUGGAAUUCCGCGUGUAGCAGUGAAAUGCGUAGAUAUGCGGAGGAACACCGAUGGCGAAGGCAGCCUCCUGGGAUAACACUGACGCUCAUGCACGAAAGCGUGGGGAGCAAACAGG